rnacentral:rRNA from 1 species
CUCAGUAACACGUGGACAAUCUGCCCUAAGGUGGGGAAAUAAUCUCGGGAAAACUGAGCAUAAUGCCCCAUAGAUCAGGAAUGCUGGAAUGCUUCAUGGUCAAAAAGCUCCGGCGCCUUAGGAUGAGUCUGCGGCCUAUCAGGUAGUAGUGGGUGUAAAUGACCCACUAGCCACUGACGGGGUACGGGCGUUGGGAGACGUCGCCCGGAGAUGGAUUCUGAGACACGAAUCCAGGCCCUACGGGGCGCAGCAGUUACGAAAACUUGGCAAUGCGGGAAACCGCGACCAGGGAAUUCCAAGUGCAUGCACAUUGUGUAUGCUGUUCCAUUGUCUUAAAAACAUAGGAAGUAAGGGCUGGGUAAGACAGGUGCCAGCCGCCGCGGUAAUACCUGCAGCCCGAGUGGUGGUCGAUAUUAUUGAGCCUAAAGGGUCCGUAGCCGGCCUGAUAAGUCCUUUGGGAAAUCUGGCAGCUUAACUGUCAGGCUUCUAAGGGAUACUGUCAGGCUUGGGACCGGAAGAGGUAAGGGGUACUCCAGGGGUAGGAGUGAAAUCUUGUAAUCCCUGGGGGACCAUCUGUGGCGAAGGCGCCUUACCAGAACGGGUCCGACGGUGAGGGACGAAAGCUAGGAGAGCAAACCGGAUUAGAUACCCGGGUAGUCCUAGCUGUAAACGAUGCUCGCUAGGUGUCAGACACGGGGCGACCGUGUUUGGUGCCGCAGGGGGGCGGUCAAGCUAGCCACCUGGGAAGUACGGUCGCAAGGCUGACACUUAAAG